GAGGGAACCGGGACAACCACGGCCCUGCCGCCUUCCCUUUUAUGUGCCUGUCCUGAGCAUAGCAGAAAAUGGUGCCCACGGCAGCAUCAGGACGCGCUCGGAGGCCCUUAUCCUAGCUGGUUCGGGCUCCCCGCGGCGAUCGCCCCCGCGCGGGGAAAGCCCGAGGCUGGAGACCGCGAAGCUGGCGCAGCGGGGUCAGGGGCUGCGGGCAGGAGGACGCACACGCGCACGGUCGCGUGCACAAUCACACGCGCGCACUCGGACACUUUCAGCCCGGCGCGCGCACAGGCUGUAAGAAAAGGGCUGCCUGGAACAUCUACGGUGCAGACACAGACACAGGCAGAGGGAGUAACCCAUGAAGACAGAGGAUGCAAAGAGCUAUGUACAAGACAAAGAGAUGUCCAGAAAAGCCAAAAGUCCCCAGGACAUCACCACCUCCAGUUUCCAUAGCAUCACAAGGUCGCUUGAUCUAAAAUUGAAGUUGUCAUCUCCCUUGGAAAGUUGAGAACAGCUUCUACUCUAUUUAUGUCUGUGCGCACAUUUAUACAUAUUUUCUCAGUCGAGGUGGAAAAGCCCCUCAAACCUUUCUUCCACUUAAUCUUGAGUUUUCAUCAACUCAUCUAUUAAUCAGGAUUCUUCAAGUGUCAGCUUAAGUAUCACAGCACCUCUCUUACACUCCUAGACCAUUUAUCACUUCAGCGAGUACUGAGCAUUUGUUUACUAUGAAAAGACAAGGUGUGAGUCAGCUCAAAAUGAUGGACAUGUUCCACCCAACUGCACUGUCCUGUUGGAACGUGAUGCUGCGAAUGAUCAUGAAGACACACACAAUAAGUAAGUAAGGCAUUUGUAGAUAAAGAAAAUUAACAGCAGACGACUGGUAAAGAACUCUGGGAAGAAGAUUGAUGGGAGAGACUCUCAGAAAAGGUCUUUCUCAGUUGACACUGCACUGAGACUUGACUCACGAAACGGACCCAGCAAUUGAAAGAGCUGAGGAAUGAACGUUCUUAUUAGAGCAAAAAGGAUGAUUCAAAAGUCGUCGGGCAUAAGCCAGUGGGAAUUUCCAAGACAUAGGUAAGCUUGAGUGACAUCAUUGGCUAGAGUAUGGUGAGCAUGGAAGCAGGAACUGUAGGGAAAACACCCCCACUGGGGCUGACUUCAUCUAAUCUCUCCGUGGAUUACCAUGUAAAUAAUGUGGCUGAAAUCACAAACAACACUCACAGUUAACAAGGAACAAAGAUUUAAAAACGAAUAUUUUCUGAUCAGAGGCCUCAUAUAUGCUAUAUUUUGAAUAUAUGUAUUAUAUAAAUAGAUAUGUACUAAUGGCAUAUUUAAAAGCUGAAUCUUAUUAUGUCACGGAAAGUCAGCAUUUCCCUAUUUCAGUGGGAAAUAUGACAAAAUGAUGACAAAAUCUACAAGAAUACUCUCUAUGACAUCAGUUAUAGACACUGAGCAAAAAUUCAUGGUUGAAGAAUGAUUUUUAAAUUUCCCCUUAAAAUAGCUUAUAGAUGGGGCUGGAGAUAUGGCUCAGUGGUUAAGAGCCCUUCCAGAGGUCCCGAGUUUAAUUCCUAGCAGCCACAUGAUGGCUCGCAACCAUCUGUAAUGGAAUCCAAUGUCCUCUUUUGGUGUGUCUGAAGAUUUUAUGCAUAUACAUAAAAUAAAUAAAUAAAUCUUUAAAAAUAGUUUAUAGAUUGUUAAAUAUAACAUUAUGAGACACAGUAAUAGGGGAACGUUUUAGAGGAAUUGUCAAUAUUACAAGUUCACUGAAGUUUAAGACUGGAAAGUGCUUCAGCCUCCCUCACUCUAACACGAAACUCCUAGAUCUUUAAUAUGCCAUAGAAUUGCUGUGUGAAAACUUACAAGUAAUGUCUUACACCUGAAUGCAAUUCUUCGGUUGUACUCAAGUUGUGAUGUUUAAAUUAUUGCUUCAAAUCCUGUCAAGAGUUUAUUUUUACAGUACUAAAAAAAAAAUCAGAAUUGAAGAGGUUGCUUUUUAUUUUAAAUUUAGAGUUCUUAGAUAGUUUUGAAAUUUUAUUUAAGUAUUUAUUUGACAUUUUAUCUAUCCCCUAUCACUAAAUGUAUAUAAAUGAUUUUAGGAUUUUUUUUUUUUUGGUCAUUAAUGAAAAGCUAUCCUCAAACAAAACAAAACAAAACAAAACAAAACAAAUUAAACUAAUAGUCUAGUUUUCUGAAGCCCAGAAGGCCAAUUACAAUAUAUAAAUUUCAAUAUAUUCAUGGCACUUAGGGAACAUCUGUAUGCAUUUGAUAAGGCCAUGCCAUUCCCCCACCAAGGAACAGGUGUCCGGCCUCAGAGAUGUAAUAGCUUCUUCCAGAUAGUCAUUAGCACACAGAUAGGGAUCUAUUGUUCCAGGAUAGUAGUACAGUUCUCUUGAAGAACACAAGUGAAAUCACCUUAACAUAGCACCAUAGAUAAGUUAUUUCAGUGAAAAGACAAUUUUUGUUAUCUAUUAAUAACCAUAAUAUGAAUUAGUCUAUCUCACAGACCAACAACUUUGGAUUGAAUAGCAUUGCCUUGUUAUUAAUUGUUACUGCUGCUUUGUAUCUCUUAAACAGCAAGAUGAAGAUAUCCACAUGAUCUACUUGAAGUUUUUUGUUUAUUUGUAUUCAACUAAAGCCAACACAGUCUUGAGACUUCUCGAAGUUUGUGAUACUGCUUUCUAAUUUUUGACACAAUAAAAUAUAGUAAGAUGAAGC